rnacentral:rRNA from 1 species
GACGAACGUUGGCGGCGUGCUUAAUACAUGCAAGUCAACUGAAGCAGUGGUAGCAAUAUCGCUGUGGAGGUGGCGCACGGGUGAGUAACACGUAGGUAAUCUGCCUUCAGGUCUGGCAUAACUCCGGGAAACCGGGGCUAAUAGCAGAUGAUGCAGCGGCUCGACAUCGAGACAGUUGUUAAAGCUAUGGCGCCUGAAGAUGAGCCUGCGUCUGAUUAGCUAGUUGGCGGGGUAACGGCCCACCAAGGCAACGAUCAGUAGCUGGUCUGAGAGGAUGAUCAGGCACACUGGAACGGAGACACGGUCCAGACCCCUACGGGAGGCAGCAGUAAGGAAUAUUGCUCAAUGGGAGAAAUCCUGAAGCAGCAACGCCGCGUGAGGGACGAAGGGCUUUUGCUUGUAAACCUCUGUAGUGAGAGAAAAAAAUCCCAAUCUUUGGGACAUGAUGGUAUCUCAAAAGUAAGCCCCGGCUAACUACGUG